rnacentral:rRNA from 1 species
UCGUAACAAGGUUUCCGUAGGUGAACCUGCGGAAGGAUCAUUACCGAGAAUGCCCUGGGGAUGCUUGCUGGCCCGUAACGAACGGGCAUGUGCACUCCCCGGAGUUUUUCCAGUGAACCCUCACUUGACACCAUGUGCACCUUUUGUAGGCUCGAGAAAUUGGCCUACGUUUACACACACACAUACCACACUUUGAAUGUAUUUUGUUGGCAAAAUAAUUUGAAACACAACUUUCAACAAUGGAUCUCUUGGCUCUCGCAUCGAUGAAGAACGCAGCGAAAUGCGAUACGUAAUGUGAAUUGCAGAAUUCCGUGAAUCAUCGAAUCUUUGAACGCACCUUGCGCCCCUUGGUAUUCCGAGGGGCAUGCCUGUUUGAGUGUCAUUGAAUUCUCAAAAACCCGAACCUCGCGGUUCAGGCUUUUGGAUAUGGAGAGUGCCGGCCUUCAACCGAGUUUGGCUCCUCUGAAAAGCAUUAGCAAAACCCUAUCCCCGAUGGCUUUGUUGGCAUUGAUAAGACCGUCCAUGCCUUUGCCCUCCGGCGGAAAGCGGUUGCUUCGACAAUCGUCUGAAGUGACAGACAAUUUUUAACCUUGACCAUUGACCUCAAAUCAGGUAGGACUAC